GGCAGACGGGUGAGUAACAUGUAGGUAUCUGCCCUUUGGCCUGGAAUAACACGAGGAAACUUGUGCUAAUACCGGAUAAGUCUUUACGGAGAAAGCUUUAUGCACCAUUGGAUGAGCCUGCACUUGACUAGUUUGUUGGUGGGGUAAUGGCCUACCAAGACUGUGAUCAAUAGCUGAUUUGAGAGGAUGAUCAGCCACAUUGGGACUGAGACACGGCCCAAACUCCUACGGGAGGCAGCAAUGGGGAAUCUUGCACAAUGGAGGAAACUCUGAUGCAGCGAUGCCGCGUGAGUGAAGAAGGCCCUUGGGUUGUAAAGCUCUUUCGUCGGGGAAGAAGAUGACUGUACCCGAAUAAGAAGGUCCGGCUAACUUCGUGCCAGCAGCCGCGGUAAUACGAAGGGACCUAGCGUAGUUCGGAAUUACUGGGCUUAAAGAGUUCGUAGGUGGUUGAAAAAGUUGGUGGUGAAAUCCCAGAGCUUAACUCUGGAACUGCCAUCAAAACUUUUCAGCUAGAGUAUGAUAGAGGAAAGCAGAAUUUCUAGUGUAGAGGUGAAAUUCGUAGAUAUUAGAAAGAAUACCAAUUGCGAAGGCAGCUUUCUGGAUCAUUACUGACACUGAGGAACGAAAGCAUGGGUAGCGAAGAGGAUUAGAUACCCUCGUAGUCCAUGCCGUAAACGAUGCGUGUUAGACGUUGGAAAUUUAUUUUCA
rnacentral:rRNA from 1 species